GAUGAACGCUAGCGGCAGGCUUAAUACAUGCAAGGCGAAGGGGCAGCAAUGUCACUGUCGUACGGGUGCGUAACGCGUAUGCAACCUACCUAUCACUGGGGAUAGCCCGGGGAAACCCGGAUUAAUACCGCAUAACACAGGGGCCCAUCAUGGGGAUAUUUGUUAAAGAUUUAUCGGUGGUAGAUGGGCAUGCGUUCGAU
rnacentral:rRNA from 1 species